rnacentral:rRNA from 1 species
GCCCGUAUUACCGCGGCUGCUGGCACGGAGUUAGCCGGUGCUUCUUCUGUGGGUAAUGUCAGGACUGCCGGGUAUUAGCCGGCGGCUUUUCUUCCAGCCGAAAGGAGUUUACGACCCGAAGGCCUUCAUCCUCCACGCGGCGUCGCUCGGUCAGGGUUGCCCCCAUUGCCGAAGCCUCUAGACUGCUGCCCCCCGUAGGAGUCUGGGCCGUGUCUCAGUCCCAGUGUGGCUGAUCAUCCUCUCAGACCAGCUACCGAUCGUAGCCUUGGUGAGCCAUUACCUCACCAACAAGCUAAUCGGACGCAGGCUCAUCUGAUAGUGCGAGGCCCGAAGGUCCCCCGCUUUCCCCCGUAGGGCGUAUGCGGUAUUAGCUCGAGUUUCCCCGAGUUGUCCCCCGCUACCAGGCAGAUUCCUGCGCGUUACUCACCCGUCC